UUUCUGGAGAUGCCUGCCUACCUAUGGCCUUCUGUUGGUGUAAUUGUUUGGUACGGUCAUUCCCUAGUUGGCUGGUUUUCCCAUUAAUAAAGUGACCUGGGGCCCAAUGCGAAUGCGUGCGAGCUCUUUUACAUUCCUUGGAACUGGUUGGACCCAUUCUCGGGCGCUUUUGCCAAGCUUAUGACGUGGGGUCUCGUCUCUCAGGAAAUGCAUUUGGAAGGAUGAGGGUUCUGCCAGGCUUCUCUGAGUCCGGAGCAUCUAGGCAGUCUACAGAGCUUGUGCUAUGAAGGAAUACACUCAUAGAGCCCAGGCCUCCAUCAAAAGAGACGUUAAGGAGAGUUUAUAGCUCCUUUCAUUGGGAAAUAUGCAUUUUUAAGACUGGUGUGUACACUGUAAACUCUCUGCCAAACGUGUGCACAGGAAAUACAUAA